CAAGAAGUGCGUGCUGUAGAAAGAAGAGUUUUACUGGAAGCUCUUGCUAACCAGCUACCAUCAGAUGCAAUUUCUUUUUCCUCAAAGCUGUCUUCUAUUGAAAGAAGUGACAAAGGUGAAACCUUGCUAAAACUCGAGGAUGAUACCCAAAUGUCUGCUAAGGUAGCUAGAUCUACAUGCUAAUUUGAUAUUCAAUUUAUUGUUGGAAUCUUCAAGAUUUGGAUAGUGUCUUUUAUAGGCCCAAAACACAGUAUUAGGAUUUACGAAACUUUGGUAUUUCUGCAUCUUUUCAUGUCACCAGCUAUGCAGGAUGGUGAUAAAAUCAGAAGAUGGAAGAGAGUUGCGCUCUUUCAAAUUCAAAGAUGAAGAUGAAAGGUAACUGUACCUGAUGUUCGGGUUGGCACAUUGAUAUACAUAAUUAGAUUUCUACCAUUUUACUGAUUAUACUAUUUGGUAGCAGUCAAGAAGUGCGUGCUGUAGAAAGAAGAGUUUUACUGGAAGCUCUUGCUAACCAGCUACCAUCAGAUGCAAUUUCUUUUUCCUCAAAGCUGUCUUCUAUUGAAAGAAGUGACAAAGGUGAAACCUUGCUAAAACUCGAGGAUGAUACCCAAAUGUCUGCUAAGGUAGCUAGAUCUACAUGCUAAUUUGAUAUUCAAUUUAUUGUUGGAAUCUUCAAGAUUUGGAUAACCUUCACCCACAUUGAUUACACUACUCAUGGUGUAAAUUUGUGCUUGAUAAUUUGCAUGCGUAGAUCAAUUCCAAUUGAGUUCGUAUCUAGUUUCUAACAAUUGUCUUGGAGAAAACAUGUUCCACUCAAUGUGGUCUUAACAAUGGCUAUUUACUCAGGUGACCAUUAAAGAAAUGUCAUAUUCCUUGCUAAUCUUGUAUACACUUAAAUGUGCAACUAUAAUUUUUGGUGUAUGUUUAUAACUACUGAAAGUUUCAUUAUGAAUUCAC
rnacentral:lncRNA from 1 species